rnacentral:sRNA from 1 species
CCCUAGCCCUGAUAGCAGUGGAAAUCCUUUUACUUUUUUUCUUAAAAAAUUAAAAGAUUGCAACGGAUAGCAGGAAACAGC